rnacentral:rRNA from 1 species
UACUCCUACGGGAGGCAGCAGUGAGGAAUAUUGGUCAAUGGGCGAGAGCCUGAACCAGCCAAGUCGCGUGAAGGAAGACGGCCCUACGGGUUGUAAACUUCUUUUGCAAUGGAAUAAAAAGAGUUACGUGUAAUUCAUUGUAUGUACAUUGCGAAUAAGGAUCGGCUAACUCCGUGCCAGCAGCCGCGGUAAUA